rnacentral:rRNA from 1 species
GAUGAACGCUGGCGGCGUGCCUAACACAUGCAAGUCGAACGGAAAGGCCCCCUUGUGGGGUCCUCGAGUGGCGAACGGGAGAGUAACACGAGAGUUACCUAACCUUGACUUUGGGAUAACUUCACGUCACUGGGGCUAAUCCCGUACAGGAGCUCCUUCUGCAUGGCGGGGGUUGGAAAGUUUCGGCGGUUGGGGAUGGACUCGCGGCUUAUCAGCCUGUUGGUGGGGUAGUGGCUCACCAAGGCGUUGACGGGUAGCCGGCCUUAGAGGUGGACCGGCCACAUGGGGACUGAGGGAGGGCGCAGACUCCUACGUGACGCAGCAGUGGGGAACAUUGCACAGUAAGCCGAAGCCUGAUGCGGCAGCGCCGCGUUCGGGAUGACCUGUUUCGGGUUGUAAACCGCUUUCUCCUGAGACGAAGCGUGAGUGACGGUAAUGGAUAAAGAAGCACCGGCUAACUACGUG